ensembl:lncRNA
GGGGGUUUGUCCUCCGAGCUGGGGUUGUACCCGCCGCAGGGGUCCUGAGCACCCCGCUCCCAGGGUUUGAGCACUGGUGCUAUGGGCUGCGGCUGAGGGAGAUGGGAUGGUUCGGUCUGGAGAGGAGGAGGCUCGGGGGAGAGCUCGUUGUGCUCUGCACUCUCUGAAAGGAGGCUGUGGUGAAGUGGGGGUUGGGCUUUUUUUCUCAGGUAACAGCGAUAGGAUGAGAGGGAACGGCCUCAAGUUGUGCCAGGGAGGUUCAGGUUGGACAUUGGGAAAAAUUCUUCUCCCAAAGUGGUGAUGCAUUGGCAUCAGCAAGGAUGCCCAGUGAGGUGAUGGAGUGACUGGCCCUGGAUGUGUUCAAGAACUGUGUAGAUGUGUCACUGAGGGAUGUGGUCAGUGGGCGCUAUUGGUGGCAGGUGGAUGGUUGAACUAGAUGAUCUUCGUGGUCUUUUCCAACCUUACUGAUUCAAUGACUCACAUCGGCCUUUCUCUCUUACCAGUGGGAAGUAAGGAGGAAGAAUGCUUAGAAGAAAGGCUGAUGGCCUGUUUCCACCAGCAGUGGAGGAAAGAGUGAGGCAGGACUGGGAAGGAUAAAGCUAUUGCUGCCAGCUGGGAGCCAACAGACAGGCUGAGUUUCACGAGCAGCACUGCACCAACUGACAGAUGUCAUGCCCAGGCUGGCCUGCUUUAUGUAAUUUCUGCUCAGCAAUGUCUAGACAUACGUGGGGAUAGAGGCGUGACUGCGUUUAGAAAUGGGACCUGCUGAGUGGGAGUCCCAUGAUGUUGGAAGGCUGAACCAAUGGAAAAUGGCUUGACUUUCUUGAGAAUAAAGCAUAAAGCCCCAGGAGGAAGUAUAUCUUCUGAGGACUUCCCAGCAUCUCGGCUAAUUUUAGACAACAUAAACUGAUCCAGCUGUCAUUGCUGUCUUAACGUCUCAGGUGAUUUAUUUCUCUUUGGAGCUAGAAGAGGGAAAGUUUACCCCGAAACUGAGAAUACUAGCCCAGUGACAAGAAUCAUUGUUUUGGAAAGGAAUCACAAAACUGUAAUGCAGAGGGAAAAGGACCCUCAUGUUAGCAGAGGUAAUGUAGUAGGACCUUCGAGUUUUUUAACUUUGCAAUAAAUUGCAGCCAUAAAAAAGACUCAACUUUUAUAAUAACAGUAUACUUGUUCUUCAGAUUAUCCUUGGAACAAAUAGGGUGUUAGAGCAGACGGAGCUCGGAAUCUUCUUUAUAGUCCCAUCCCUAAAUAUGCCAGUAAAGUGGGAAGCAAGACAUCCAAAAUCUCUUCCAAAUGGCAAUAUCCAAAGGAAAUAUUUGCAGAUUGUUACUAAGUUAAUAAGCUGUAAAUAUUCCUCCUGAAUUUUAAAUUAAUUUUGCAAUCCUAGCUCCACAUUCUGAAGAUAUGGGGGACUUCUUCAGUAAAUGUAUUUGAAGUAAAGCAUCGUUAAUAUGUCAGCUUUGCAAAACAUGAUUUGUUUCACAUGGCUUCAGG